rnacentral:rRNA from 1 species
AACGCGAAGAACCUUACCCAGGUUUGACAUACAGGAGAAGAUAACAGAGAUGUUAUUGCCCGCAAGGGCUGCUGUACAGGUGCUGCAUGGCUGUCGUCAGCUCGUGCCGUGAGGUGUUGGGUUAAGUCCCGCAACGAGCGCAACCCUUAUCAUUAGUUGCCAACACGCGAGGUGGGGACUCUAGUGAGACUGCCUAGGUUAACUAGGAGGAAGGUGAGGAUGACGUCAAGUCCGCAUGGCCUUUAUAUCUGGGGCUACACACGUGCUACAAUGGACGGUACAGAAGGCAGCGAAGUCGUAAGAUGGAGCAAAUCCCGAAAGCCGUUCUCAGUUCGGAUUGUGGUCUGCAACUCGACCACAUGAAGUUGGAAUUGCUAGUAAUGACGUGUCAGCAACAACGUCGUGAAUACGUUCCCGGGCCUUGUACACACCGGUACUA